ensembl:misc_RNA Y_RNA Y RNA
GGCUAGUCCAAAUGCAGUGGUGUUUACAACUAAUUGAUCACAACAAGCUACAGAUUUAUGUAUUCCUUCUCCACUUCCACUGCUUCACUUGACUAGCCUUUA